rnacentral:lncRNA from 1 species
UGUUUUCUGCACUUCCUCCAUUUUCCAUCCAUCUCCUCUGGUGUCUUUUCUCCUUUUUUGAGGAAAACCUGACUGUUUGGUGGUUUUUCUUGCCGUUGUAGUUACCAACCUGCUGAACAUGGCCUCCUCCAGCGCCAUGGCUCAACACGGAGCUGGCUCUGCAUCGCCUGCACGAGGCUCGGGGCACCGUUCCAGUACGGAGCAGCCAUUCCCCAUUAAGAACCCACUUUGGGACUGGUUUGAACUGGGAGUCGCUCUGACUUGGCUCUUCCAGGGGCCAGAAUCUCUUUGCUAAAGGCGCCGGGUGCUGCCCGUUGCCACGUGAACGUCUCGUGGGGUGACUGACCCCGUCCCGGUGCAUCAAGUAGAGCUUGUUUGGGUCUGGGACAAUUUGGAGAAUGGAAUUUCUCCUGUGAAUGAGGGAAUAGUCGAUAAAACACCAGAUCUGCCCUGGCUAAAGCCCCGAGCGGGUCUGAUUGGCUCCCUCUUCUUUAACACCACUGGGGGCCUGCCCCCCUUGCCACCAGGAGCGAGAAUUGCCCUUUUUCCUCCUCUGCCGGAGGAAUUUAAGUUCUUUUUUCCUAUACAAUCUGGCAGGAAGCUCUGGAAAUGCUGCCUUCUGCCCACCCUGGAGACCCGAAUCCCAUCCUUUGGCUGAUUACCAUUGCGCAGGCUUGGAUACUUGGACCCCACUGGAACAGCAGUUGUUUCAAGAGGCUUUUUACACCCAUGUGAAAUGUGUUCACCUGAUUCGUGUUAAUAUCUUUAACUGUUCUGUUUGUCCUUGUGUGACCAUGGGCUUGGGAGAAGCGGGAUUGGAUGGAUGUAGUUUCUGUUUCUGGCAAGAACCUGAUGCCGAAUUUGCCCCAAAAGGCGAAAUAGAAACCGCUCAGAGACUCAGUUUUCAAGUCCAUAAGCAGGAGGUAUUGAUUAGCAACGCGUUGGGGAACUCUCCAGGCCGCCAAGGUGGGAGUGACCUUGCUUCAUCCUAAAAUUGCUGAAGCCACCACUUCAUGUUCUGGUGUUCCUUCCUAUCAACUCGUUCUGUUCUCUCAGACAAUUUAUUACCUUCGUGAUUUGGUAAGAUCCACCAAAUGUGGCCUGACUGAGCACAAACGGGGCCUGCAACUCCCGUUGCAGGGAGUAGGCCUGAGCCCAGCACCAUGAUGUCUUGAAGCAGCAAAAGAGUGUUGUCGCCCUUGUUGGGAGAGAGGGGAUUCCAAGAAGGACCCCAGCUGACAUUUUAACUCCUUCUUUCUCCAAGACUGCUUCCUUUGGAGCCGUUUCAUUUCCCCCCUUUUCUUCUAACUUACGAAUUGGGGGGCCACCAAGAGGUUGGGGUCAAGGUCAUCUCAUCCCACCUCCCCACAGUCAGCAGGGACACCCCCAACUAGACCAGGUUGCCCAGGGCCUCGUCGAGCCUCUCCUUGAAUAUCUCCAGGGAUGGGGCCUCAACCACCUCCCUGGGCAUCCUGUUCCAGUGCUCCACCACCCUCACAGUGAAGAACCCUCUCCUCAUCUCCAGUCUAAACCAGUUCCCCUCCAGUUUGAAGCCGUUUCCCCUCGUCCUGUCACUGCAGGCCUUUCUAAACAGGUUCUCCCAACCUUCCUGUAGGCCACCUUCAGAUCUUGGAGCCGCCUCUUCUCCAGGCUGAACAACCCCAGCUCCCUCAGCCUGUCCUCGGAGCAGAGGUGCUCCAUCCCCCUCAUCAUCCUCUGGACCCUCUCCAUCAGGUCCAUGUCCUUCUUCUAUUGAGGGCUCCAGACCUGCACACAAGACUCCAGGUGAGGUCUCAAAGCAGAAGAACCACCUCUCUGGACCUUCUGGCAACGCAGCCCAGGAUGGGAUGGACCUUCUGGGCUGGAAGUGCCUGCUCCUGUCCAGCUUCUCCUCCACCAGCACCCCCAAGUCCCUUUCCUGGGGACCCACCUCUCCAGGUCCCUCUGGGUGCCCUCCCGUCCCUCUGCUGGAUGGACACCACCACCACACAC